rnacentral:rRNA from 1 species
AACAGCUGCGGUAUUUUAACUGUACUAAGGUAGCAUAAUAAUUUGCCUUAUAAUUUGAGGCUAGAAUGAAUGGUUUGACGAAGGUUAAUCUGUCUCUAUUUUAUUUUUUAGAAAUUAAUUUUCAUAGUGAAAAAGCUUGAAUUUUUUAAAGGGACGAGAAGACCCUACUGAGCUUGUAAUUUUAUUAUUACUGCUAUUUGUAAUUGGGGCAGUAAUAUAUAAAUUUUAAUUGGGGUGAUUAAGGAAUAAAAUAAAUAUAUUUAGUAACUUCCUUAUAAAGUAUAUUGUUAGAUGAAGUAACCAAUAAAGUUACAUGAUAUUGUAAUAAAUAUUGCUUAUAAUAUAGUUACCAUAGGGAUAACAGCGUAAUUUAUUUAGAGAGUUCUUAUUGAAAAAUGAGAUUGCGACCUCGAUGUUGGAUUAAAGUAACCUUAAGGUGUAGAAGCUUUAUAGGGUAAAUCUGUUCGAUUUUUAAAACUUUACGUGAUCUGAGUUC